CGCGUGCACAAACGGUCAAAAGCCGCGCGGCGCGUUUGCAACAUUCUGUAACUUUCCCGGGAGGGCGGUUCCUCUGCCUCUCUGCAGCAAGAUGGGGACAGGAGCCCGCGACCCUGAGGAUUGCCACUGCUUGCAAACAGGCUGCAGUGUUGCUGUGAACAUGGGAGCGCAGAUGGUUUCACUCCUGGUUUCUGUUGUUUUGCAGAAGUACCCAGAAAGGUGUUUCAUUCCUUGACUUAAAGAAACUGAACAGUAGAAGAAAGAACACUGGGUGGCAGAUGGGGCCACAAUGAAGUACAGGAGGAGGUGUCCCUGCGAAGUCAGCAUCAGCCCCAGAUCACCCUACGAGCCGCUCUUGACAUACAUACUGAAUCGGAAUAGUCCUUGUGAUCUCUGAACUUUUGAAUUCUCUCCAAAUUGAAGCGGAGGCAGCAGUUAUCUGGAACAACGAGUUAAGAGAAAUACGUACUAAAUCAGACAGCCAGUAUUUGGGGGUCAGUAAUAUGUUUCUAAGAUGCUCACAAGAUUUGGAAACCAGCGAGCAAAUCGGCUGAAAUCAAGCAAUGCCAAUCGGCGAGAGAACACCAUGAGGCCCCUGCUAAAGCAAAGUGGCCAUUCUUUCUGACUUUGCAGCCAUCCAC